rnacentral:rRNA from 1 species
GACAGAGGGGGCAAGCGUUGCUCGGAAUCACUGGGCGUAAAGGGCGCGUAGGCGGGAUGGCAAGUCGGUCGUGAAAUCCUUCGGCUCAACCGAAGAACGUCGGCCGAUACUGCCGUUCUUGAGGGAUGCAGAGGAGAUUGGAAUUCCCGGUGUAGCGGUGAAAUGUGUAGAGAUCGGGAGGAACACCGGUGGCGAAGGCGGGUCUCUGGCCCGGUACUGACGCUGAGGUGCGAAAGCGUGGGGAGCAAACAGG